rnacentral:rRNA from 1 species
UGAGUAACACGUGAGUAACCUGCCCUUAACUUCGGGAUAAGCCUGGGAAACCGGGUCUAAUACCGGAUACGACGGACCACCGCAUGGCGGUCCGUGGAAAGCUUGAUGCGGUUUUGGAUGGACUCGCGGCCUAUCAGCUAGUUGGUUGGGGUAAUGGCCCACCAAGGCGACGACGGGUAGCCGGCCUGAGAGGGUGACCGGCCACACUGGGACUGAGACACGGCCCAGACUCCUACGGGAGGCAGCAGUGGGGAAUAUUGCACAAUGGGCGAAAGCCUGAUGCAGCGACGCCGCGUGAGGGACGAAGGCCUUCGGGUUGUAAACCUCUUUCAGCAGGGAAGAAGCGAAAGUGACGGUACCUGCAGAAGAAGCGCCGGCUAACUACGUGCCAGCAGCCGCGGUAAUACGUAGGGCGCAAGCGUUAUCCGGAAUUAUUGGGCGUAAAGAGCUCGUAGGCGGUUUGUCGCGUCUGCUGU